UCCGUAGGGGGCAAUCGUUGUCCGGAUUCACUGGGUGUAAAGGGCGCGCAGGCGGGUUAGCAAGUCAGAGGUGAAAUCCUACAGCUUAACUGUAGAACUGCCUUUGAAACUGUUAAUCUUGAGUGCGGAAGAGAGAGACGGAAUUCCAGGUGUAGCGGUGAAAUGCGUAGAUAUCUGGAAGAACACCAGUUGCGAAGGCGGUCUCUUGGUCCGUUACUGACGCUCAGGCGCGAAAGCGUGGGGAGAAAACAGG
rnacentral:rRNA from 1 species